ensembl:snoRNA SNORD39 Small nucleolar RNA SNORD55/SNORD39
CUUGGUAAUGUUGCACAUUCCUGACCGAACAGUGGGGAUGCCAACCUUGGAGUGGGGGGGA